AACAAACGCUGGCGGCGUGCCUAAUACAUGCAAGUCGAACGGGGAAAGCUUUCGGGUGAGUACUAGUGGCGCACGGGUGAGUAACGCGUGGAUAAUCUGCCCUCGAAUGGGGAAUAACUAGUCGAAAGAUUAGCUAAUACCGCAUAAGACCACGACUACUGUGGUAGUUGGGGUCAGAGGAGCAAUUCGUUUGAGGAUGAGUCCGCGUAAGAUUAGCUAGUUGGUGAGGUAAUGGCUCACCAAGGCGAUGAUCUUUAACUGGUCUGAGAGGAUGAUCAGUCACACUGGAACUGAGACACGGUCCAGACUCCUACGGGAGGCAGCAGUAGGGAAUAUUGGACAAUGGGGGCAACCCUGAUCCAGCGACGCCGCGUGAGCGAUGAAGGCCUUCGGGUCGUAAAGCUCUGUUGUAAGGGAAAAAGUUCUGAUUGUACCUUACGAGAAAGGAUCGGCUAACUUCGUGCCAGCCGCCGCGGUAA
rnacentral:rRNA from 1 species